UACAGAGGUCCCGAGCGUUGUUCGGAUUCAUUGGGCGUAAAGGGUGCGUAGGCGGCAUGGCAAGUCGGGUGUGAAAUCCCGGGGCUCAACCCCGGAACUGCACUCGAUACUGCCGUGCUCGAGUGUUGGAGAGGAGACUGGAAUUUACGGUGUAGCAGUGAAAUGCGUAGAUAUCGUAAGGAAGACCGGUGGCGAAGGCGGCUACCUGGCCUAAUACUGACACUGAGGCACGAAAGCGUGGGGAGCAAACAGG
rnacentral:rRNA from 1 species